AUUGAACGCUGGCGGCAGGCCUAACACAUGCAAGUCGAGCGGAUGGAGGGAGCUUGCUCCUUGCUUCAGCUGCGGGCGGGUGGGUAAUGCCUAGGAAGCUGCCUGGUCUUUUGGGAUAGGGUCCGGACACGGACGCUGAUACCGCAUCCGUCCUUAUUUUGAAACUGGGGGGUCUACGGACCUCACGCUAUCUGAUGACCCUUGUUCGGGUUACCGCGCUGGAUUAGUAAGUUGGUACGGUAACGGCUUACCAAGGCUACGAUGCAUAGCCGACCUGAGAGGGUGAUCGGCCACACUGGAACUGAGACACGGUCCAGACUCCUACGGGAGGCAGCAGUAGGGAAUCUUCCGCAAAGGGCGAAAGCCUGACGGAGCAACGCCGCGUGAGUGAUGAAGGUCUUCGGAUCGUAAAACUCUGUUAUUAGGGAAGAACAUAUGUGUAAGUAACUGUGCACAUCUUGACGGUACCUAAUCAGAAAGCAACGGCUAACUACGUG
rnacentral:rRNA from 1 species